UGCAGAUCACCGCCUUCCCAGACCUUCUAAUCGAAGCUGGGCCAGCCCUGUUUCCAGGCAGCGGGGGGAGCCAGCGGCAGGCAUAUCUCAACACUCCUCAACCCUCCUCUGGGCCAGCCUGGACGGCUGGUGUCAUCGUCUGCAUUCCCCGGGGUGUUCGUCGGGGUGACACUGAACGCUCAAGGUCAGGGUCUGGCCUGCCUCCCGUACUCAGCACUGAGGCCCCCCCCACCCGUGGGUUUGAUUUUGACGAGACGAGGCGGCAAAUGGGAAAACAUCGCGCUCUUCCUCAGGACCUUCUCAGGUUCUUCAGUAACAAGAAACCUGAACCUUUGAAUCCUCAAGGCCUUCAACUCUCCCUGAGAAAGUCUGCUGAAGAAAGCAUCUAGUCCAGCCUCCAACCGAUGAAUGAGACCCCUCUGCCGAAUCCAAGCAACGCUCUAAUCUCCUGCUGUCAAACAAGGGACGGGGCCACGGGGGGUGGGAAGCACAUGAGCAGAGAACGACCUGGGUUCAAGCCCUGAUUCUGCCACAUAUUCCUGCUGGUCCCUACAUAAGUCGCUUAAGAUGUCUCAACCUCAAUUUCCUCAUCUCUCCCCUUCAACUGAGAUGUUGUUUGUUCAACCCAGAAAAAAGGUAGGUGAAGUGUCUGACAUCCGUCAUAGUAAACGCUCAGCAAAGUCUAACAUUUAAAUGA